rnacentral:rRNA from 1 species
CCUACGGGAGGCAGCAGUGGGGAAUAUUGGGCAAUGGAGGAAACUCUGACCCAGCAACGCCGCGUGAAUGAUGAAGGUCUUCGGAUUGUAAAGUUCUUUUCUAAGGGAAGAAGAAAGUGACGGUACCUUAGGAAUAAGCCUCGGCUAACUACGUGCCAGCAGCCGUGGUAAUACGGAGGAGGCGAGCGUUAUCCGGAAUGACUGGGCGUAAAGGGUGCGUAGGUGGUUUGGCAAGUUAGUAGCGUAACUCCAAGGCUCAACCUUGGAACUACUACUAAAACUGUUGGACUUGAGUGCAGGAGGGGCAACCGGAAUUCCUAGGGUAGCGGUGGAAUGCGUAGAUAUUAGGAGGAACACCAGUGGCGAAGGCGGGUUGCUGGACUGUAACUGACACUGAGGCACGAAAGCGUGGGGAGCAAACAGGAUUAGAUACCCGGGUAGUC